rnacentral:rRNA from 1 species
AUUGAACGCUGGCGGCAUGCUUUACACAUGCAAGUCGAACGGCAGCGCGGGCUUCGGCCUGGCGGCGAGUGGCGAACGGGUGAGUAAUACAUCGGAACGUGCCCAGCAGUGGGGGAUAGCUCGGCGAAAGCCGGAAUAAUACCGCAUACGAUCUGAGGGUGAAAGCGGGGGAUCUUCGGACCUCGCGCUAUUGGAGCGGCCGAUGGCAGAUUAGCUAGUUGGUGGGGUAAAGGCCUACCAAGGCGACGAUCUGUAGUGGGUCUGAGAGGACGACCAGCCACACUGAGACUGAGACGCGGCCCAGACUCCUACGUGAGGCAGCAGUGGGGAAUUUUGGACAUUGGGCGAAAGCCUAGUCCAACAAUGCCGCGUGUCUGAUGAAGGCCUUCUGGUUGUGAAGCACUUUAAACGGGAACGAAAAGCACUGUGCCUAUACCAAGUUUCGAUGACGGUACCCGCAGAAUAAGCACCGGCUAACUACGUG